rnacentral:rRNA from 1 species
AGAGCGAACGCUGGCGGCAGGCCUAACACAUGCAAGUCGAACGGAUCCUUCGGGAUUAGUGGCGGACGGGUGAGUAACACGUGGGAACGUGCCUUUUGGUUCGGAACAACUCAGGGAAACUUGAGCUAAUACCGGAUAAGCCCUUCGGGGGAAAGAUUUAUCGCCAUUAGAGCGGCCCGCGUAGGAUUAGCUAGUUGGUGGGGUAAAGGCCCACCAAGGCUACGAUCCUUAGCUGGUCUGAGAGGAUGAUCAGCCACAUUGGGACUGAGACACGGCCCAAACUCC